GAAAGCUUCCUUUUAGAAUCCAUAGUAAUGAAGGCAAAGAGAGAGCUCAAGUGUGAAGAUUUUCUGCCAGUUAUUUUGUCUCUCCUGCCGCUGAGAGUGUCUGGCACUCUGAUGAAGUCCAUCGGAAACAUAGAUUGGAGUUUAUGAAAGUGAGUCUUUUUGGUAUCUCUGAGCCAUUGAAGAGCCAUCUGGCUUAAUUUUUAUAACUUAAAGGGGAUUAAGAGAAUCACUUUAUGGUUCUGCUUCACGGGGUACACUGCUGGUCACAAAAUGUCCUCGAUCACAUAUAAACUGUUGCGAACAUAAACACUGGUUUAUUGUGGGGGAGCAUACGUCCUCCUUUCUCUUCCUGUCCAACUUGAUAGUAUUUCUCCUUUAAAUCGUUAUCCAGAAGGUCUGUGUUUGGCAAUCUGAAGUUUAUAAAAUAGACUUUUAUCUUCCUUUUAAAAUAGAAAGGGAGAAUGUGUGCCUAAGGGUUCAUCCUUUUCUUUUUUUGUGUGUUCCUGGAGAUUGAGCCAACCCCCCUCCAUGUAAAAAGUUAUCUUGAGUCAGGGUCUCACUAAGUUGUCCAGGCCAUCCUUGGAUUUGCUAUCCUCCUGCCUCAGCCUCCGAGUAGCUGGGGUUACAGGUGUAUACCACCACACCAAGCUCAAAGGUCCAUCCUUAAGAACAAAAAUCUGACAACAUUUUUGGGAGGUGCACAUGGGCAAUGGGCCAGCUCAGGAAGUAGAAAGGGAAGGAGAUUGUCGUUUGAACUUCCAGUGUCCUCACUCAGGGCUGGACCCUGUGGAUGGGGCUGUUCUUGGGUUGGUCCUGGACUGGGUUAUGUCUUCAUUAUCUGGUUCCUUCAGAGUUGGACACCUGGUGGGAUGAGGAGAUGAGUGAGGCUGGACUUCCCACACACCAGGGACAGCCUCGGGGACACACGCCAUUUUUUGUUUUGUGGCAUUGGGUUUCCUGAUACUACCUGCUAUUGUUCAUCCAGGGUCUUCUCUGUUCUCACCACACCCUCGUUUUUGAUUCCAAUAUCUUUCAUAUGAACUGGCUUCUUUUUAAAAAAGUCUUAGGUUUCCCCAUUUUUAUUUUUAUGUUUCCCUAUUUUGAUUAGGAGUGAGCUCUAUUUAUUCAAGGUGGUUAUUCCAACUCUUCUCACUUUUUUUUUUAAAGUUGUUAAUGGGCCUUUAUGUAUUUGUAUGCAGGGAUGUGAAUUGAACCCAGUGCCUCACACGUACCCCUGAGCCCUGACCCCAGCUCCUCCCUUUGCCUUUGAUAUGGGAAAAGCUUGCUAAAUUUCUUAUUGUCAAAAAGUUCCUCUCAUCCCAGGGACAAAAAGAAAUGUCAAGUCGGCAUGCUGACAUUUGUUCAUAAUCCCAGAAAUAUGGGAGGCUGAAGCAGGAGGACUGCAAGUUCAAGGCCAGCCUCAGCAAUCUAG
rnacentral:lncRNA from 1 species